CAGGAGGGAGCGGCGGCGGGAGCGAGCGCGCAGUCGUUAGUUAGCUUGUUAGUGUCGCGUUGGUAGUGCGUCCGAGUAGAACACACGGGGACAACACCAGAACACAACAGCAGCACACAACUCAGCCGCCGCGUUCCCGUCCGAGAGCGAGGCGCUGCUGACACUUUUUUUUUAGUGAGCUAGACAAAAGCAUCAGUCGUAGAGAGGCUCCCUCGCCGCUGCCGUUCCGCCGACAAGUUUUUUUCGUACAGUAAACUAGUGUGUCGUUUGUUGUUUUAUGUGUGUCGUUUUGUUCCGGUAGUCGUCGCCGUUCGUUUGUUACCUAGUCGUAGUUAGUGGUGUUGAGUGGGCCGCAGCAGACAGCGGCCGGCAGCUGGGAGGCGUGCACAACAAACACACCCCUCGCUCAGCUUCGACUCGACGGAGGAGCAAGAAGACAGCCGACAGCACAGCAGCGGAGGCGUCGCAACGCAAACAGGCCGACAGAUGAUGGAAUCCCAGGCGCAGGAGACGGUGGCAGGGGGCUCGCCCGCGGAGGUGCCCAACGACCCCGGGAAGAUGUUCAUCGGCGGCCUCAGCUGGCAGACUAGUCCAGGUAAGCUUCACCCUAGCCAACAGCGUGCGCAUACUUUGAUCAGCCCAAGCUACAUCUUCACCAAUAACACUGUAAGUAAAUGCUCUGCACUUUCGGCAUAUUUGCGUACUUGAAGGAAUUGAAGGGAUAAAAUUUCAGAUAAUACUGCCCUUCUUAAACACCCACACUGGAUUUCUUGGUUAUGUGACGUAUUUUCUGACAGGAAUUAGCUUCUUAUCGAUAGUUUCGACAUGACUUGAAUGUUGUGAACUUUGUUUGCCAGUUAGCAUUUGAACGCAAAUAACAUUCCACGCAGCAUCAUAUUUAACAGACUCAUAGUCGCCAUAGAUAAACGUGGAGUACAAGAACACGUUCCUCAUACAGACAAUAGCCAGUGCUAAAUUUUGAGCUGUAAUACAGUAGUAACAGCAAGUGGGAAUAUAACAAUAUGCGUAUUGUUUGGAGCACUGUCGGUAUUGUACUUACAAAUACGUUUGGAGCCAAAAAGAUAGCAGGAAGCGACCUCCUGCCACAGAAAGUAGCCGCUGUAUCGAGGUGACUUGCAUGCACGCUACAGCUAGUCUCGUCGCAGACCAGAAAUAGACUACAACAAAAAUAAUGUUGGCAACAAUUGUUUAUUAAAAGUAUAUCGAUACAAAUACUAGGUUUUAGUGUG